GGUGUCACUUGAUGCGGAUAUGGAGGGUACGUCGUCAGCACACAGCUCUCCCGGCCGUAUGUCAGAUUGCGAGACCGGAGCCGCUACAUCUCAUUCAAGUAGCUCCUCAGUUUGCCUCACGAGGGCUGAGUGCACCCCGCUGGCCAACACCGCUCGGCAGACUGGAUGUUCACGUAUCCAAGUACUAGCCCAGCCCGACAGCGCUUGACCUCGGUGAUCCGACGGGAACAGGUGUCACCACUGCGGCCUCAGAAGACCCAACGAUUCUGACCGACCGUCAUGUCAUCCACAGCUGAUAGACGUCACUGGAUGCAGAUACAGAAGGGCAUGUGACCGGAACGCUACUUCUCAAUCAAGCAGCUCAUCAACUGGUCCCACAAGGGGUGAGUGCACCCCACUUGCAAACAGUGCUCGGCAGACCCGAAUGAUUACCCAUCCAAGUCCUAGCGCUUAACCUCGGUGAUCUGAUGGGAACCUGUGUUAUUACCACGGCAAGGCCUUUGCCAUUUAAUGCUUCGAAUGGGUCAUUUAUGUGGUGUAACACCUGUUCAUGGCAAAAGAGUGAUAUAAUGGAAGUUUAUGUCAUUAUCGUUUAAUUAAACAGUGUUUUAGCUCA